AACGAACGCUGGCGGCAUGCCUAACACAUGCAAGUCGAACGAAGGCUUCGGCCUUAGUGGCGCACGGGUGCGUAACGCGUGGGAAUCUGCCCCUCGGUUCGGAAUAACAGUUAGAAAUGACUGCUAAUACCGGAUGAUGACUUCGGUCCAAAGAUUUAUCGCCGAGGGAUGAGCCCGCGUAGGAUUAGGUAGUUGGUGGGGUAAAGGCCUACCAAGCCGACGAUCCUUAGCUGGUCUGAGAGGAUGAUCAGCCACACUGGGACUGAGACACGGCCCAGACUCCUACGGGAGGCAGAAGUGGGGAAUAUUGGACAAUGGGCGCAAGCCUGAUCCAGCAAUGCCGCGUGAGUGAUGAAGGCCUUAGGGUUGUAAAGCUCUUUUACCCGGGAUGAUAAUGACAGUACCGGGAGAAUAAGCUCCGGCUAACUCCGUGCCAGCCGCCGCCGUAA
rnacentral:rRNA from 1 species